rnacentral:rRNA from 1 species
UGGGGAAUAUUGCGCAAUGGGCGAAAGCCUGACGCAGCGACGCCGCGUGAGGGAUGAAGGUUUUCGGAUCGUAAACCUCUGUCAGAAGGGAAGAAACCGCACUGUGCUAAUCAGCAGUGCCUUGACGGUACCUUCAAAGGAAGCACCGGCUAACUCCGUGCCAGCAGCCGCGGUAAUACGGAGGGUGCAAGCGUUAAUCGGAAUUACUGGGCGUAAAGCGUACGUAGGCUGCUUUGUAAGUCAGGGGUGAAAUCCCACGGCUCAACCGUGGAACUGCCUUUGAUACUGCUUAGCUUGAAUCCGGGAGAGGGUGGCGGAAUUCCAGGUGUAGGAGUGAAAUCCGUAGAUAUCUGGAGGAACAUCAGUGGCGAAGGCGGCCACCUGGACCGGUAUUGACGCUGAGGUGCGAAAGCGUGGGGAGCAAACAGG